rnacentral:sRNA from 1 species
ACAUUGAAGGUCUGAGUGUAGAAGGGUUAGAAGGUCGGAAAUAUGAAAACAGAGAAAGUGUAUACUUUCCUCCUUGCAUCUUUAGACAUCAUAAUGCUGUUGGGAACUGGCCUUUACCCUCAGUGAGGCCUGAUGAAGAAAAAUUGUUUCUACCACCUGUGCACACAUAGCCAAGGCAGAAAGUACAGGGAGUGCCACUGUAAAUUGGAAGUGUUUUUGGUGACAGUUGAGCAUCAGCUCUGACCUUACUGGCCUCCCCUGGAGCCUUGUUGAAGGAACACUGGUGCAAAUCCUUGAGGGAACAGGGGCAGACUUCUCAAGUGAAGCAAGCAGAAGUGCCCGCUGGCCCUGAAAGGGUAGGCUGCUCUGCUCCUCGGAAAGGAAAGUCCAGUGGGACCUCGCUGCUCUGCUCCCAGGGACAAUUCAAGCUUUCGAAAUACAAAAAUCACAUUGUGAGAGUACACAAGCUGGCAAUAAUCCUUUUCUGUAUGUGUGUGUUUGUCCGAAAUGGAUGGGAGGCCUCCAGCCAGUCCUUCCAUUGCUCACUGAAGGGACGUCCCUGAGCCGUGCGCUCU